CUGAUGGGCGCGUACGGGUCAAUUGCGGCGUGCAACACCCGAUCUCCCUGCCGGUUCCCCACGAACGGGACAUCGGCGAGGGGGAGCGUGUGACCGUCAG
rfam:Salinarchaeum sp. Harcht-Bsk1, complete genome.